ACCUAGCCCUGAUAGUAAUGAAAAUAAAAGACCUCCAUUGUUUGGAGGUUUUUUAUUGUAAUGGAUAGCAGGAAAAUGG
rnacentral:sRNA from 1 species